rnacentral:rRNA from 1 species
AGAGUUUGAUCCUGGCUCAGGACGAACGCUGGCGGCGUGCUUAACACAUGCAAGUCGAGCGGGGAUCGAGUUUGGAAGGCUUCGGCUGGAAGGGCUCAAUUCUAGCGGCGGACGGGUGAGUAACGCGUGAGCAAUCUGUCCCACACAGGGGGAUAACACUUGGAAACAGGUGCUAAUACCGCAUAAGACCACGGGGUCGCAUGGCUCUGAGGUAAAAGAAAUUCGGUGUGGGGUGAGCUCGCGUCCCAUUAGCUAGUUGGUGAGGUAACGGCCCACCAAGGCGACGAUGGGUAGCCGACCUGAGAGGGUGAUCGGCCACAUUGGAACUGAGACACGGUCCAGACUCCUACGGGAGGCAGCAGUGGGGAAUAUUGGGCAAUGGGCGCAAGCCUGACCCAGCAACGCCGCGUGAAGGAAGAAGGUUUUCGGAUUGUAAACUUCUGUCCUAAGUGACGAAUAAAGUGACGGUAGCUUAGGAGGAAGCCCCGGCUAACUACGUGCCAGCAGCCGCGGUAAUACGUAGGGGGCGAGCGUUGUCCGGAAUGACUGGGCGUAAAGGGCGUGUAGGCGGCUUUUUAAGUGUGAAGUGAAAGUCCUGCUUUCAAGGUGGGAAUUGCUUUGCAAACUGGAGAGCUUGAGUGCGGAAGAGGUAAGUGGAAUUCCCAGUGUAGCGGUGAAAUGCGUAGAGAUUGGGAGGAACACCAGUGGCGAAGGCGACUUACUGGGCCGCAACUGACGCUGAGGCGCGAAAGCGUGGGGAGCGAACAGGAUUAGAUACCCUGGUAGUCCACGCUGUAAACGAUGAAUGCUAGGUGUAGCGGGUAUCGACCCCUGCUGUGCCGCAGUAAACACAAUAAGCAUUCCACCUGGGGAGUACGGCCGCAAGGUUGAAACUCAAAGGAAUUGACGGGAGCCCGCACAAGCAGUGGAGUAUGUGGUUUAAUUCGACGCAACGCGAAGAACCUUAUCAGGAUUUGACAUCCGGAGAACUCGGCGUAAUGGCUGAGGUGCCCUUCGGGGAAUUCCGAGACAGGUGGUGCAUGGUUGUCGUCAGCUCGUGUCGUGAGAUGUUGGGUUAAGUCCCGCAACGAGCGCAACCCUUGAUCUUAGUUGCCAGCAUUCAGUUGGGCACUCUAAGGUGACUGCCGGUGACAAACCGGAGGAAGGUGGGGAUGACGUCAAAUCAUCAUGCCCCUUAUGACCUGGGCUACACACGUGCUACAAUGGGUGGUACAAAGGGCUGCAAAACCGCGAGGUCGAGCAAAUCCCAUAAAACCACUCUCAGUUCGGAUUGCAGGCUGCAACUCGCCUGCAUGAAGCUGGAAUCGCUAGUAAUCGCGGAUCAGCAUGCCGCGGGAAUACGUUCCCGGGCCUUGCACACACCGCCCGUCA